UGCAGAGAGAUGACAUGACCCACAUUGCACAAGGGGAAAGAGCAGCCAGAAACCUCUAACAUCACACAGCAGUUCCUGCUGGGAUGGGAUUGACUGGAUCCCACUCAUUUGCUGAGGCACGUUGCUCAUUAAAUGCUAGAGGAGCAGCCUGGGGAAUGGAGACUGAGUAACACUGAGAGAGGACCUGCAGGAGCAGUCAAACCUUGGUAGAAGAUCCAUGGACAGUGUGUCUCAAUACAGUCCUCUCUAGCUCUGUCCCACACACAGCCUUGUUGGUGAAGUGUUCUGCAAAGUGAACAGCCAGCCACAGAGGUGGAAGAGAGGAACUUCAGCUGGUAUCACUGCCAAAACCCCCAUGAGUGGUCUGCCAUGCCAAGCCAGCCCAGUCCCAAGAGGAGCUACCACAGCCAAGAACAAAGGGUGCUAAGGAAUGGAGUCCUGCAAUGAUGCACAUCUUUCGCUCCACAGCUGACCCUUCCACCAGGAAACCAACUGCAGCUUCAUCAGAUGCAGGUAGCUCCCCUUCCACAUUUCUGUCUCUGCAGCAGACUUCUGAGGUUUCCUGGCCCAUCACUCUAUUACUAACAUUAGCCAAGGAAUAAAAGUUGAAGGCCAAGAAUGCUUUCCUAGUCCCAGCUGGGAUGGGUCUGACUGUCUUGCUCAAGGUUUAGAUUAUAGAGCUGGACAUCAGUGUGUUAUCUGUGCAAGGAACACAGCUCUGUACCCGCCUGUGUGUACUGCAUGCAUCAGUGGAUAGAAGUUGGGCCUUUUGUUGGUUAAACAGCAGAGCUAUGCAGAGGAUUUGGAUGAGUUCUGCUGAAGUUUUGUAAACCAGCUACCAGGCUUUCUAAGUUCCCCACACCCUCCAUUUUCUUAAUUCUCGCUAACACAUAUCUAGCUGCUGCUGCAGUUGCUUCCCACCUCAGAACACGUACCAAC